AUGACCAAUCUGUACCAGGAUGAGGAACAAAGCCGGUAUGAGGAGGUCGUGUCGCCCAGGGAGCAACCCAAUCCCCGGAAUAGGCUUCCAUCUGAGAUAAUUUCAACUGUGUCUGUAGUUCACUUGGUGGGAGACGAGUGUCUGAGAUGUCCCUUGGGCAGACAGUGACCUGAGUGCUCACUGAGAGAGAAGCAUAUGGGUAGCAUAAGGAUGUGGGCCCCAGUGGAAGGGCAUCCAUGUCUAAACAGGGCCACAUUCAAGGUUUUCGUAAAAGGAAAAGUUGCUUCCAUUUCAUCCUUAUUCCACAUUUGCAGAGAAGGAAGAUCACAGGGCAGAGGGGAGCACGCGUACCUCCUGCAGUACCCUCGGACUCAUCAUCUGGAGCACAGAGUGAAAGGAGGGUGCUCGGUUGCUCAUCUAAGUCAUUUAGUUUACCCAUCACUGCCUAAAAUAGCCUCAAGUCAGCGUGACGCAUGCACUGCUCUGCCGUGGCCCACAUAGCAUAUGUUGCUGUUCGAGCUGUGAGCCCUCUCUUCUUCUCCCCGCAUCCAGCAGCCGUCACCUUCCUCCUCGUUGCUGCCGCGGCCUGACCCAGCCUCGUGGUCCCGCGGCACCAGCGGAUGGAGCGCCUUGUGCCCUGGGCAGGGACACAGCCAGAAGGUCCUGAAGCACACAACUUCAGAGAUUUUCCACUUAGAGAAAAAAAAAAAAUGAAUAUAUACCAGGUAAAUACGCCGAUGGAUAUGCAACCUUGGGACACUUCUGCGAUGUGACUAAUCCUGCGCAUGCUGUGACUCAGCUGCUGAAGCCUAUUAUCAGAAAAGGUCCCAGAGCUCCCAGUUAUAAACCAAUAAAUAAAACAGCUUGUUUUCCGUAACA
rnacentral:lncRNA from 1 species